GUCGUGGGGCAGCGCGGGUAGCAAUACUUGGCGGCGACCGGCAAACGGGUGCGGAACACGUACGCAACCUUCCUCAGAGCGGGGAAUAGCCUCUCGAAAGAGAGAUUAAUACCCCAUAGUAUCUUGAAACUGCAUGGUUUUAAGAUUAAAGCUCCGGCACUUUGAGAUGGGCGUGCGGCUGAUUAGGUAGUUGGUAGGGUAACGGCCUACCAAGCCAACGAUCAGUAGCUGAUGUGAGAGCAUGAUCAGCCACACGGGCACUGAGACACGGGCCCGACUCCUACGGGAGGCAGCAGUGAGGAAUAUUGGUCAAUGGAGGCAACUCUGAACCAGCCAUGCCGCGUGAAGGAUGAAGGUCCUCUGGAUUGUAAACUUCUUUUAUAGAAGAAGAAACCCCGGUAUUCUUACCGGGUUGACGGUACUCUAUGAAUAAGCACCGGCUAACUCCGUGCCAGCAGCCGCGGUAAUACGGAGGGUGCAAGCGUUAUCCGGAUUCACUGGGUUUAAAGGGAGCGUAGGUGGGUCUGUAAGUCAGUGGUGAAAUCUCCGAGCUUAACUUGGAAACUGCCAUUGAUACUAUAGAUCUUGAAUACUGUGGAGGUAAGCGGAAUAUGUCAUGUAGCGGUGAAAUGCUUAGAUAUGACAUAGAACACCGAUAGCGAAGGCAGCUUACUACGCAGUUAUUGACACUGAGGCUCGAAAGCGUGGGGAUCAAACAGGAUUAGAUACCCUGGUAGUCCACGCCCUAAACUAUGGAUACUCGACAUCAGCGAUACACAGUUGGUGUCUGAGCGAAAGCAUUAAGUAUCCCACCUGGGAAGUACGUCCGCAAGGAUGAAACUCAAAGGAAUUGGCGGGGGUCCGCACAAGCGG
rnacentral:rRNA from 1 species